rnacentral:snoRNA from 1 species
AUACCGUGAUGAGGGCACCCGCUCCCAUGCCUCAUAUAAAGAUUCUUCAUCAAGUUGUUGAAAUGAAGUGAGUUCAUUUCGGAUCUU